AUUUUUCGAAUGGCUUUGGGUGGGUGGAUAACGUGUACGAGAAGAUAUGAGAAGGAUUGAUUUAAAAAUAAUUAUCAUCAUUCAUCAAGGAAUCGUGAAUACAACAAGUAAGAAUCAUAUAUUCAUUUGAAUUUAAACGACAAAGAAGAAAAAACAACAAGUAAAUUCAGUCACUGUUAGAAUCGUAAUGUAUGAAUGAUGAGUGCCCGAAUUCAAAUCUCCGAUUCCAUCAAACCGACCUGGUUCCUGUAUGUGUAUAACAAAGAUGUUAUAUGUUUUGCAAGCAAAAAAAAAUGCCUUUUUAAACUGAUUUUCAUUUUGCUUUUUUUUCUCUUUAGCCAAAACUUAUUUGACAAAAUUGUGAAUUGUAUAUGGCUGCCAUAUUCGAAUUAAUUCUGGUAGGUUAUGCUGACUGAUGAUAAACACACUAAGAAGUUAUUAUCGCUGUUGUCGGGUAAAUUUAAUCUUAUGGUAAAGAAGUAGUAGUGUGUGGUAAUCACCAUCAAUUUCGAGUCAAAGUAAGUCAUUGUGGCAAAAUGUUAAUUAUACCAAAUGAUGAUGAUGAUGAAAAUUAAAUGUGGAUGCUUGCUGUACACAAUUACAAUUCUCUAAUUUGUUUAUUCUGUAUUUUUUGUAGGUUUCGUUCGUUUAAAGUUGAAAUAUUCGCUUGAAAAUGUGCACUUGAAGUCAUGCGAAACGUGUAAAUAAUCAUUUCCUUUUUACAUCACUUUUUAACAUUCAAACAUUAAUUAUAACAAUGAUCUGGAUUCGAUUCGAUUGCUUGAAUGGUCGACAUCGAUUAACAUUGAGUGAUAAUCAAAUGAUUCUUUAUAAUUUGAGAUUCACGAAUAUCCUGGCAGACAUCUAAUGAUAUAGGAUGACAUUAUCGAUUUAAUUCUGGAAACCGUUGAUGAUGAGAAUGGUCAUCAUCAUUGAAAUAGUCAUAUAAUUAACCUG